rnacentral:rRNA from 1 species
ACCCGCUGAACUUAAGCAUAUCAGUAAGCGGAGGAAAAGAAACUAACUAGGAUUCCCCGAGUAGCGGCGAGCGAAAAGGGAGAAGCCCAGCGCCGAAGCCCGCGGCCUCUGGUCGCAGUGCAAUGUGGCGUUACGGUGGCGGCUCGCCAUGGCAUCUCUGGCACGCGUACCUCUGAAUGGGUCUGCCCGCAGCGGGUGUCAGGCCUCUACUUGCCAAAUGAGUUGCUGUGGCCCGCCGUUCAUCGCGGAGUCGGGUUGCUUGAGAGUGCAGCCCAAAGUGGGUGGUAAGCUCCAUCUAAGGCUAAAUACCUAGUGCGAGACCGAUAGCAAACAAGUACCGUGAGGGAAAGUUGCAAAGAACUUUGAAAAGAGAGUUCAAGAGUACGUGAAACCGUUCAGAGGCAAACGGACGGAACUGGGCGAGUUCGUCGCCGUCAUUCAGCUGCCGAUUCGUCGGUGGUGCACUUGGCGGCGGCGGAGCGUGACGACCGCCUGUCGAGUCGUCAGAAGCCCGGCGGCAAGGUGGCGACGCGUUCGCGCGUCGUGUUACAGGCCGUCGAGGCGUUGGCUGACUUGGCGGGCGAGGAGCGCCUGCGGUGCACUCCCUGCGCGGGAGUGACCCGACGUGGUGGGCUUGCGGACGCCGGUGGCGAACUGCGUGCAGUUCGUUGUCGCGUCGUUCCGUCUGUCGCGCCGCGCGGUGUCACGGGGCACCCAGGGUCCGAGUCACGUGGUUCCUGGCACUCCGUCCGACCCGUCUUGAAACACGGACCAAGGAGUUGAGCACGCGCGCAAGUCGAUGGGCUCCAAGAACCCCAAAGGCGCAGCUAAGGCAAAACGGGCGUGAUCCGGCACUAGCGUGUCGGCGCAACGCCGGCCCGCAGCUGACUCGAUGCGAGUGGCUGCGGCGCAAGAGCGUGUGUGCUCAGACCCGAAAGGUGGUGAACUAUGCUUGAGCAGGGCGAAGCCAGAGGAAACUCUGGUGGAGGCUCGCAGCGAUCCUGACGUGCAAAUCGGUCGUCAAACUUGAGCAUAGGGGCGAAAGACUAAUCGAACCGCCUAGUAGCUGGUUCCCUCCGAAGUUUCCCUCAGGAUAGCUGGCACUCGGGAUAAAUGGUUUUAUCCGGUAAAGCGAAUGAUUAGAGGCAUUGGGGACGAAACGUCCUCAACCUAUUCUCAAACUUUAAAUGGGUAAGAGGCGCGACCCUUCCUGAUCGGGGUCGCGUGCUUGAACAGAGAGUGCCCAGUGGGCCGUUUUUGGUAAGCAGAACUGGCGCUGUGGGAUGAACCAAACGUGCGGUUAGGGUGCCUAACGCACGCUCAUGAGAUACCACAAAAGGUGUUGGUUGAUAUAGACAGCAGGACGGUGGCCAUGGAAGUCGGAAUCCGCUAAGGAGUGUGUAACAACUCACCUGCCGAAUCAACUAGCCCUGAAAAUGGAUGGCGCUGGAGCGUGCGACCCAUACCGCACCGUCGGGGCAAUGCGUGCGAAAUGCCAGGCCCCGACGAGUAGGAGGGCGUGUCGGUGGCGUUGAAGCGUAGUGCGCGAGCACGCGUGGAGCCGCCUUCAGUGCAGAUCUUGGUGGUAGUAGCAAGUAUACAAAUGAGAACUUUGUAGACCGAAGUGGAGAAGGGUUCCAUGUGAACAGCAGUUGGACAUGGGUCAGUCGGCCCUAAGAGAUCGGAAAAUUCCGUUCUGAACGGGGGAGGCGCACGCCGUCUGAACAACUUGUUGAUUCAGUGAGGAAGCGGCGUAGUGUGCGUGGCUGCCCCCGAUGCGAUCGAAAGGGAAUCGGGUUAAUAUUCCCGAACCUGGUAGUGGAGAUUGGGCCCUCGGGCCCCAGUGCGGUAACGCAACCGAACUCGGAGACGCCAGCGUCGAUCCCGGGAAGAGUUCUCUUUUCUUUGUUAGGAGCGGACUCCCUGGAAUUGGCUUGUCCAGAGAUAGGGACGUUGCAUCCGUAAAGCGUCGCGCCUCACGCGGCGUCCGGUGCAUCGGCGUUGGCCCUUGAAAAUCCGAGGGAGGCAGUGUGAUUUUCACUCCAGGCCGUACCCGAAUCCGCAGCAGGUCUCCAAGGUGAACAGCCUCUGGUCGAUAGAACAAUGUAGGUAAGGGAAGUCGGCAAAUCCGAUCCGUAACUUCGGGAUAAGGAUUGGCUCUGAGGUGCGGGCUGCUUCGGGUCGCGGCAAGAAGCGGACCGCGCGUCGGUAGGACUGGACGCGCUCUGCGUGUUCGGACCGCCGCCGGCGUGCGUCCGUGGGAGGCCGUGGCUUUCGCCGGCGUUGGUCCUUGUGGCCGGCGUCGGCUUCGUUCGGCCUAAACGCACAGCACAGAACUGGCACGGACUCUGGGAACACGACUGUCUAAUUAAAACAAAGCAUCGCGAUGGCCGCUGGUCGGUGUUGACGCGAUGUGAUUUCUGCCCAGUGCUUUGAAUGUCAAAGUGAAGAAAUUCAACCAAGCGCAGGUAAACGGCGGGAGUAACUAUGACUCUCUUA